GCCUCGGUGGUGUAAUGGUAUAGCACGCGCCUCCGACUAGGAUAAAACGCGGGCUCGAUUCCCGCCUGAGCCC